rnacentral:rRNA from 1 species
AGCGUGGGGAGCAAACAGGACUAGAUACCCCGGUAGUCCACGCUGUAAACGAUGAGUACUAGGUGUCGGGGGUUACCCCCUUCGGUGCCGCAGCUAACGCAUUAAGUACUCCGCCUGGGAAGUACGCCCGCAAGAGUGAAACGCAAAGGAAUUGACGGGGACCCGCACAAGUAGCGGAGCAUGUGGCUUAAUUCGAAGCAACGCGAAG